UACGUAGGGGGCAAGCGUUGUCCGGAAUCAUUGGGCGUAAAGCGCGCGUAGGCGGCCAGAUAAGUCCGGUGUGAAAGUCACAGGCUCAACCUGUGAAUGCCGCUGGAAACUGUCUGGCUCGAGUCCGGGAGGGGCGAGUGGAAUUCCUGGUGUAGCGGUGAAAUGCGCAGAUAUCAGGAGGAACACCAAUGGCGAAGGCAGCUCGCUGGAACGGUACUGACGCUGAGGCGCGAAAGCGUGGGGAGCGAACAGG
rnacentral:rRNA from 1 species